GUGCCAGCCGCCGCGGUAAUACCGGCAGCCCGAGUGAUGACCGAUCUUAUUGGGCCUAAAGCGUCCGUAGCUGGCUGCGCAAGUCCGUCGGGAAAUCCGCCCGCUCAACGGGCGGCCGUCCGGCGGAACCUGUGUGGCUUGGGACCGGAAGGCUCGAAGGGUACGUUCGGGGUAGGAGUGAAAUCCUAUAAUCCCGCACGGACCACCGAUGGCGAAAGCACUUCGAGAAAACGGAUCCGACAGUGAGGGACGAAAGCCAGGGUCUCCAACCGGAUUAGAAACCCGAGUAGUCC
rnacentral:rRNA from 1 species